CUUUGUUUCUCUCUCUCUCUCCGUCGCCAUUGUUUCUCCUCAAGUUCUUGCGGCAGUGUAUGAGUAGAUUGUUUCGAAAUCUUAGGAAUAUUAUGCGUCAAUUUUGUAAUCAGAUCUGAAGCCAUGAAGCAGCCGUAUCCCAGAUAAGAUCUGAUUGUAUACCGGAAUUGUAAGCUCUCAAACAACUUGCAAUGGUCUUGUGUCUUCUUUUUUCCAGUAUGAUCUAUUUGUUCCAGUACUACUGAACCCACAAAUUUAAUCCUUGGGUAACCCUGAGGUAUUUUGACUAAAUGUGAUUGAAGUAGAUCCACAUAUAUGAGCUGCAAUAAUUAGACAGAAUAGAAAUAUGGUUUAUUAGUACCACACUGAUGUGAAUGUGUAUUGGAAGCAUAGUAUGUGCAAUUAUUGAAAGGUUAAGCUUACAUGUAGAAUAUGAACGCAUCCACCGACAUUCAGGUUGUGCACUUUGUUUUCCCUUGAUUCACGGAUUGCCUCGAUAAGGUACUCAGCAGCAAAACGACACCAAUUCAUACGAGGGAUGUCGGUCAAGUCCUUCAAAGCUCCUAGCAGGUAACUUCUAUUAAUUUGGUAACCAGUCGUCGGAGCUAAGUAGGCGCAAAGAAUGACUUGCAUGAAACACAAGCAAAACUUGUCCUUGUCUUUUUCCUCUUUGUACGUUAACAUCCUGUCUGUAGCUUCCUUGAGUGAUUCUCCUCUUCCGGCCUUAGCAGACUCGAAUUCAGUUUUACCUCUGAAAGGUCUGUCACGAGCCCUACCUGGACGGGGCAUUGGAACUGCUUUGUCAAGAGCAGGUAACUUCAAGAGGUUUUCAACAGCUUGUACUAUAGAAACCUUCCUGUUUCUGAAUACUAGACACUUGCUGUCGCAGUCUACUCUUUUCAUCAGCCAUAUAGUUAGCUUUCUUGGUAACUUGCACUCAAUCAUGUCAAUGAGUGAUCCAAAUCCCAAUUCUUCUAUCCAUUUUAGCUGUUCUGGACAUAGUUUUUUUAUAAUGUCGCGUAUCUUGUUUGGAUCACAUUUCCAGUUGAUUGUCUACAUGCAUGUUCGGGAAGAGCCAGGUUAGUGCUGCCAUCAAUAAUUAUAUUUUAAAGCAAUGCAAACCUCUAUUCCUGCUUUUUUAUAAUACCUGCUUAACUUCGGCGGAAGCUGCUCUCUUAAGUUUCUUCGGAGAUCUUCUACAGCUAUUCCUGGUUGAUUUUGAUUGAGAGAAAACAUCAGUAUCACUCAUGUCGACGCUACAGCUUUCAUCAGAGUUAGUUGUCUGAAAGCUUGGAUAUUUCCGGCGACGGCGUGCAGAAUUAGUCAUCUGUGAAAUAAAAAAUUCCAAAUUCAGAACCAGCAUAGGUAGAAAUAAUAAAGUGGUGGAGAGAAAAUUCAGUUAUCA